GAUGAACGCUGGCGGCGUGCCUAAUACAUGCAAGUCGAGCGAACAGACGAGGAGCUUGCUCCUCUGACGUUAGCGGCGGACGGGUGAGUAACACGUGGAUAACCUACCUAUAAGACUGGGAUAACUUCGGGAAACCGGAGCUAAUACCGGAUAAUAUAUUGAACCGCAUGGUUCAAUAGUGAAAGACGGUUUUGCUGUCACUUAUAGAUGGAUCCGCGCCGCAUUAGCUAGUUGGUAAGGUAACGGCUUACCAAGGCAACGAUGCGUAGCCGACCUGAGAGGGUGAUCGGCCACACUGGAACUGAGACACGGUCCAGACUCCUACGGGAGGCAGCAGUAGGGAAUCUUCCGCAAUGGGCGAAAGCCUGACGGAGCAACACCGCGUGAGCGAUGAAGGUCUUCGGAUCGUAAAACUCUGUUAUUAGGGAAGAACAAAUGUGUAAGUAACUAUGCACGUCUUGACGGUACCUAAUCAGAAAGCCACGGCUAACUACGUG
rnacentral:rRNA from 1 species